GAUGAACGCUGGCGGCGUGCCUAAUACAUGCAAGUCGAGCGAACAGAUGAGGAGCUUGCUUCUCUGACGUUAGCGGCGGACGGGUGAGUAACACGUGGAUAACCUACCUAUAAGACUGGGAUAACUUCGGGAAACCGGAGCUAAUACCGGAUAAUAUAUUGAACCGCAUGGUUCAAUAGUGAAAGACGGUUUUGCUGUCACUUAUAGAUGGAUCCGCGCCGCAUUAGCUAGUUGGUAAGGUAACGGCUUACCAAGGCGACGAUGCGUAGCCGACCUGAGAGGGUGAUCGGCCACACUGGAACUGAGACACGGUCCAGACUCCUACGGGAGGCAGCAGUAGGGAAUCUUCCGCAAUGGGCGAAAGCCUGACGGAGCAACGCCGCGUGAGUGAUGAAGGUCUUCGGAUCGUAAAACUCUGUUAUUAGGGAAGAACAAAUGUGUAAGUAACUAUGCACGUCUUGACGGUACCUAAUCAGAAAGCCACGGCUAACUACGUG
rnacentral:rRNA from 1 species